CGUAGGGUACAAGCGUUGUCCGGAAUUAUUGGGCGUAAAGAGCUCGUAGGUGGUCUGUCACGUCUGCUGUGGAGACGCAAGGCUCAACCUUGCGCGUGCAGUGGGUACGGGCGGACUAGAGUGCAGUAGGGGAGUCUGGAAUUCCUGGUGUAGCGGUGAAAUGCGCAGAUAUCAGGAGGAACACCGGUGGCGAAGGCGGGACUCUGGGCUGUAACUGACGCUGAGGAGCGAAAGCAUGGGGAGCGAACAGGAUU
rnacentral:rRNA from 1 species